rnacentral:misc_RNA from 1 species
GAUGAAGAACGUAGCGAAAUGCGAUAAGUAAUGUGAAUUGCAGAAUUCAGUGAAUCAUCGAAUCUUUGAACGCACAUUGCGCCCGUCAGUAUUCUGGCGGGCAUGCCUGUUCGAGCGUCAUUACGCCCCUCAAGUCCCCUGUGGACUUGGUGUUGGGGAUCGGCGAGGCUGGUUUUCCAGCACAGCCGUCCCUUAAAUUAAUUGGCGGUCUCGCCGUGGCCCUCCUCUGCGCAGUAGUAAAACACUCGCAACAGGAGCCCGGCGCGGUCCACUGCCGUAAAACCCCCCAACUUUUUAUAGUUGACCUCGAAUCAGGUAGGACUACCCGCUGAACUUAAGAAUAUCAAUAAGCGGAGGA